CCAGAACAGAAGAGGACGUCAUAACUCCACCUUACAUCUGAUUGUUGUGGCAGGAGCAGGGAAAUUAACAGUUGCUACAACAAUCACUGUUGUUCUCCUGGUUAUCAUUUCCCUCUGUCUCUUCCUGUGGAUCAGG